CAGUUAACAAAAAAUGACAUCAAAUGUUCUUCCACUAGAUGGCAUAAGAGUUAAAUGAGUGAAUGAAUGAAUUUCUUUCCAUCCUCUGGGAAACCUCACCACAACUUGAUUCAACUUGAGACCACCAACAAGCUUCAAGAUAGAACAACAGGUCACUAAAUUUGGUGUAAAGAUGUUUUUAGAGAUUAACUUAAAAAA